AGCCCACAUGUACACGCGCGCGCACACACAAAAUACACUCACUACCUCUUCAUUCCCACAACACCUAGCUCUGAGGAAGAAGAGGAACAUCAAGCUGUACUGCCCAAUCUGUCCCCAAAGAAAUUAGACGGUACAUGAUCAUGAGGAAGAAGACGACAUCAAGCAUGUAGAAUUGGUGAGCUACAUCGAAGCUUCUAGCCGAAAGUAGAAUCCCUACCCCAACGAUUGAAUCUUACCCAUACUUGGUCUCCAAAAAUGACCUAAUCCUUUUCUUUCUUCCAUUAUUUCUGUUAAGGAGGCAAGAUCAUUUACCCCAUCUAGGCUUGAAGUCGGAGAGUGGAGCGAUCUCAACCAAUUUCGACUCUCUAAACUUGAGGAUCCAGAUUUACCUUCAUUCUUCAGAAAAAAGCUUGAUCCGCUAGAGGCUUAUAUACCUGCUGUUAUAUUGUCUCAGUUGCAGUUUAAGGAUUUAGGGAAAACUCUGGAAGUUGAUCAACCAUAAUAUGUUGCCUGCCUGAGUAUAUUACGUUCUGGCCUGCAGCGUCCCUUCGUGUAAAUAUUCGUGCAGUUUCACAUUGAUUGCAAUAUAGCUCCCCUUUUGGAUUCAAAUUUCUUUUGAGAUUUUGAUAUGUCUAUGCGAUUAGCAUUGAUUAAUAUUGGAUUUAUAACAUAAAAUUUUGAUAUGUGCUUGAAUUAUCGUUUUAGAUAAUUUGCACAUUUUAAUAUCUAAAUUCUUAAUGGAAUAUGUGUUUUAUCUUCUAUGUUUGAUUAUCAAAUAUAUUUAUUUUGAGUGAUAUGCUUGGAUCU